rnacentral:lncRNA from 1 species
UCGGACCUAUGGGGCUACCGGGACCUCCUGGGGAGUUUGUGAAGGGAGAAAAGGGUGACCGAGGGGAAAGGGGCCCCCCUGGAUUCGUAGAUGGGGCAGUACCUCGAGGGGAUCCUGGACCCCCAGGCCUGCCUGGGGAACCUGGGCCUCGGGGCCCUGCUGGGCCCCCUGGCCUGAAGGGAGAGAAGGUAGGAAGGUGUCAGGGAUGCUCCCCACUGGGGCUGGACCUCUCUCCAGUGGGGAUUCCCAUCUAAUGGGCAUCUCCAUGCCAUGAGCAUGGCUAUUGCCUUUCCAAAUCCCUAGGGUGAUGGCAUAGAAGGUUUCCCAGGGUCACCUGGCCGCCCCGGGGACCCAGGAGAGAGGGUGAGUUUCCUGAGAGAAGGUAAGGCAGGCAGGAACUCCCCAUGCCAAGAGCCAAGCCCCAAGGGCACACCUGAAGGCUCCAGCUUUGGACAGCCUGGGCAUUUUCCUUGUCACACCUUGUCACAUCUCCAUUCUCCUUCGCAGGGUCCUCGGGGACCACCGGGGGAGCAGGGCAGGAAGGUGAGUGCUGCAGGGACUGGAGGGACACUCUUGCCAUGCCUUUGGCAGGGAGAAAAGGGUUCUGUGCCAGGGCCCAGGAUGUUCCCCAAAGGUACUGCUGCCCCUGACCCUGUGUUUCUCCUAUACCAGGGAGACCGUGGGGCACCGGGCGAGCUGGGAGAGACGGGUGAGAAGGUGAGAUGGUGCCAGAGCAGACCAGCAUUGACUGGUCCUGGAGUCCCUGAGACCUGAUGGUG